GAUGAACGCUGGCGGCGUGCCUAACACAUGCAAGUCGAACGUGAGAGUGGAACAAGCGCUUCGGUGUGAGUUCUGCUUGAAAGUGGCGGACGGGUGAGUAACACGUGGGUGACCUGCCUUGGAGUGGGGGAUAACCAUUGGAAACGAUGGCUAAUACCGCAUGGGUCUGUAGCGAUGGGAAUCGUUGCGGGCAAAGCUUUGGCGCUUCAAGAGGGGCCUGCGGCCGAUUAGCUAGUUGGUGAGGUAAAGGCUCACCAAGGCGGAGAUCGGUAGCUGGUCUGAGAGGACGAUCAGCCACACGGGAACUGAGAAACGGUCCCGACUCCUACGGGGGGCAGCAGUGAGGAAUAUUGCACAAUGGGGGGAACCCUGAUGCAGCAACGCCGCGUGGAGGAUGAAGGUCUUCGGAUUGUAAACUCCUUUUAUCGGGGAAGAGGAAGGACGGUACCCGGUGAAUAAGUCACGGCUAACUACGUGCCAGCAGCCGCGGUAAUACGUAGGUGGCGAGCGUUAUCCGGAAUUACUGGGCGUAAAGGGCACGCAGGCGGCCUAUCAAGUCUGACGUGAAAGCUCCUGGCUUAACUGGGAGAGGUCGUUGGAAACUGAGAGGCUUGAGGCGAUGAGAGGGGUGCGGAAUUCCCGGUGUAGUGGUGGAAUGCGUAGAUAUCGGGAGGAACACCAGUGGCGAAAGCGGCGCCCUAGCAUCGGCCUGACGCUCAUGUGCGAAAGCGUGGGGAGCGAACGGGAUUAGAUACCCCGGUAGUCCACGCUGUAAACGAUGAGCACUAGGUGUAGGGCGGUGUCAAAGCUGUCUGUGCCGAAGCAAACGCGAUAAGUGCUCCGCCUGGGGAGUACGGCCGCAAGGCUAAAACUCAA
rnacentral:rRNA from 1 species